rnacentral:rRNA from 1 species
GACAGAGGGGGCAAGCGUUGCUCGGAAUCACUGGGCGUAAAGGGCGCGUAGGCGGCCUGCUAAGUAGAGGGUGAAAUCCUGCGGCUCAACCGCAGGGCUGCCUUCUAAACUGUCAGGCUGGAGCACGGUAGAGGCAGAUGGAAUUCCCGGUGUAGCGGUGGAAUGCGUAGAGAUCGGGAAGAACACCAGUGGCGAAGGCGGUCUGCUGGGCCGUUGCUGACGCUGAGGCGCGACAGCGUGGGGAGCAAACAGG